CUGUGCAAGCACCGGUUGCAGCAGCACCGGUUGCAGCAGCAGCGGCUGCGGUUGCACCUGUAACACCACAAACCAUAACAGUUUUAGUCCCUGCUGCGACUACGCCAUGUGUUUCGGAAACUUGCCCAGCUGGAUUCAUGGUCUUACCAAACCAGGCAAGUAGUACAAGCUGUUAUUCUGAUAGUGGUACAACGGUUACAGAUGAUAGAUCGUGGAAUGCAGCUCUGUUGGCUUGUGCCAGCACACCGGGUGCCUACCUGUGGAGACCAAACACUGAACAAGAAGCCGCUGCUGUUAGAAAUAAAUAUAACAUUCGUAAGUU